rnacentral:rRNA from 1 species
ACCCGCACCAACCCUAGCCGCCACACGCCUCCUCCCUCCCUCCCUCGACAGCGCCGCACCUCCUCCCUCCUUCCUGCUCGUCCGGAUAGCCGCCGGCCGCCGCAUCCCUUCUCCCCCUUCCUCCUCCAUCCUCCUUCCCGCUGGCGCCGACGAGGGGGGCUCUUGCAUGGAUGGCCGGGUCUUCAAACCGGGGGUAGAGAAGCAGGGGAGGGACAAGAAGCCCGCGGUGGGGGUGGAGCGGCCGGGGGGGCAAGAAGCCGGCGGUGGGGGUGGAGCAGCCAGGAGGGCCAAGAAGCUAGCGGUGGGGUUAGAGGAGCAGGGGAGGGCCAAGAAAGCCGGCCGGCGGCGGCCGGGGCGGGCGCGGAGAGGGCCUAUGCAGCGGCCGCGGGCGGGGCGGCGGCGGCCAGGGCCAGGGAGGACGAGGUUGCAUCCAUCAACGAGAAGCGGCCGAUCCACCUGCGUGCCGUCACUGCUGGGAUAGCGAAGGUCAGCGAAAAAGGUCAUCGUGAGGGCACACCGCCGUCUCCCUCUCCCCUGGUGGCACCUCCCUAUGUACCAUUGAUUGUGCCUCAGCUUCGUAGCCGAUCUUCUAUCGUCCAUGGCAUCAACACACAAAUUGAUAAUGGAAACCUCAGGUUUCUUCAGCAGCCUGGGGUUGUUAAGAAGAGGGUCGGGAUUGCCCUGGGCAGAUGCUUAAAUUCCUGGAUGUAA